rnacentral:lncRNA from 1 species
CUUUUUACGUUGUUAAGAUAAACAGUCAAUUAAAAGAUACAUAAAGAGAAAAAGCUGUACUCGAAUUUCUCUUAUCGGUCUAAUUUAGCUUUAAAAUAAUAAAGAUCAUAUCAUAAGGAACAUGUGUACUACGUCUCAAGUUGAUUGGACUGCAGCUUCAUCAAAAACUAACUUGACCAAAAACUUUAACCUGAAUCGGGACAGACGAACGGACGAACGGACGCACAGACAUGAAAACAUAAUGCCCAUCUACUAUCGUAGGUGGGGCAUAAAAAUCGUUGGUAUCACAAAUCUAAAAUAUGUAAUCCUUUUAACAGGGGGUAGGAGGGGUCCUGAUCCCGAAAUUCCGGGCUUUAAAACACGAAAUCCCGAGGUCCCCAAUCUAAAUAAAUUUAAAUUCCGACAUUCCGAAAUUCGAAAAAAGAAUUCCUGGGUCCCGAAAGGGUCAAUCCGAAAUCCCGAGCUUAAAAACACCCGAUCCCGGAGUCCCGAUAAAGAUCCUAUUCCCUCUAUUUUAGAUACAUGAACAACA